rnacentral:rRNA from 1 species
GUCUUUUUGAGUUAAAUAAAAAGUCUAGCCUGCUCUAUGUAAAAAUUAAUGGCCGCGGUAUUUUGACCGUGCUAAGGUAGCAUAAUAAUUAGUCUAUUAAUUGUGGUCUGGAAUGAAUGGUUUUACGAAGGGUAGCUUUUUUAGCCCUAUAUUUGAAUUUUAAUUAUUAGUAAAAAUGCUAAUAUGAAUAAGAGGGACGAGAAGACCCUGUAGAGCUUUAUAUAAAUGCUUGUUUUGUAGUACAUAAAUAGAUAUUAUAUUUUGUUGGGGCGACAUUAAAUAUUAAACAUUUAAUAUUAUGUCUAUAAUGUUAGGUUAAAUGAUCCAUUAAUAGUGAUACCAGACUAAGUUACCUCAGGGAUAACAGCGUAAUUUCAUUUUAGAGUUCUUAUCGACAAUGAAGAUUGCGAC